AGCAAGGUAAGCUAAUUAAGCUUUCGGGUUCAUACUUCGGCUAUAAGGGUUUAAAUCCUUUCUUUGUUG
rnacentral:tRNA from 1 species